rnacentral:rRNA from 1 species
GCAGUCGAGCGGAAGGCCACUUCGGUGGUACUCGAGCGGCGAACGGGUGAGUAACACGUGAGUAAUCUGCCCCUGGCUUUGGGAUAGCCACCGGAAACGGUGAUUAAUACCGGAUAUGACAUGGACUCGCAUGGGUUUGUGUGGAAAGUUUUUCGGCCAGGGAUGUGCUCGCGGCCUAUCAGCUUGAUGGUGAGGUAAUGGCUCACCAUGGCUUCGACGGGUAGCCGGCCUGAGAGGGUGACCGGUCACACUGGGACUGAGACACGGCCCAGACUCCUACGGGAGGCAGCAGUGGGGAAUAUUGGACAAUGGGCGGAAGCCUGAUCCAGCAACGCCGCGUGAGGGAUGACGGCCUUCGGGUUGUAAACCUCUUUCAGUACCGACGAAGCGAAAGUGACGGUAGGUACAGAAGAAGCACCGGCCAACUACGUGCCAGCAGCC